AUUGAACGCUGGCGGCAUGCCUAACACAUGCAAGUCGAGCGGGGUUUUCGGACCUAGCGGCGGACGGGUGAGUAAUGCGUAGGAAGCUGCCCGAUAGAGGGGGAUACCAGUUGGAAACGACUGUUAAUACCGCAUAAUGUCUACGGACCAAAGUGUGGGACCUUCGGGCCACAUGCUAUCGGAUGCGCCUACGUGGGAUUAGCUGGUUGGUGAGGUAAUGGCUCACCAAGGCGACGAUCUCUAGCUGGUUUGAGAGGAUGAUCAGCCACACUGGAACUGAGACACGGUCCAGACUCCUACGGGAGGCAGCAGUGGGGAAUAUUGGACAAUGGGCGCAAGCCUGAUCCAGCCAUGCCGCGUGUGUGAAGAAGGCCUUCGGGUUGUAAAGCACUUUCAGCGAGGAGGAAGGGUGGUGUGUUAAUAGCACAUCAUUUUGACGUUACUCGCAGAAGAAGCACCGGCUAACUCUGUGCCAGCAGCCGCGGUAACAC
rnacentral:rRNA from 1 species